rfam:Poecilia formosa, whole genome shotgun sequence.
CUCAGGAUGGCCGAGUGGUCAAAGGCGCCAGACUCAAGGCUUUACACCUUUCUUCCUGGAGAGGUUUCUGGUCUCCUGAUGUAGGCGUGGGUUCAAAUCCCACUCCUGACA